GACGAACGCUGGCGGCGUGCCUAAUACAUGCAAGUCGAACGAACGGAUUGAGGAGCUUGCUCUCCAUGAAGUUAGUGGCGGACGGGUGAGUAACACGUGGGAAACCUACCCUUCAGCGGGGGAUAACCGUCGGAAACGAAGGCUAAUACCGCAUAGGUCUUUUAACCACCUGGUUGAAAGAGGAAAGACGGCUUCGGCUGUCACUGAAGGAUGGUCCCGCGGUGCAUUAGCUAGUUGGUAAGGUAACGGCUUACCAAGGCGAUGAUGCAUAGCCGACCUGAGAGGGUGAUCGGCCACAUUGGGACUGAGACACGGCCCAAACUCCUACGGGAGGCAGCAGUAGGGAAUCUUCCGCAAUGGACGAAAGUCUGACGGAGCAACGCCGCGUGAGUGAAGAAGGUUUUCGGAUCGUAAAACUCUGUUGUCGGAGAAGAACAAGUAGGAGAGUAACUGUUCCUACCUUGACGGUACCCGACCAGAAAGCCACGGCUAACUACGUGCCAGCAGCCGCGGUAAUACGUAGAUGGCAAGCGUUGUCCGGAUUUAUUGGGCGUAAAGCGAGCGCAGGUGGUUUCUUAAGUCUGAUGUGAAAGCCCACGGCUCAACCGUGGAAGGUCAUUGGAAACUGGGGAACUUGAAUGCAGAAGAGGAAAGUGGAAUUCCAUGUGUAGCGGUGAAAUGCGUAGAUAUAUGGAGGAACACCAGUGGCGAAGGCGACUUUCUGGUCUGUAACUGACGCUGAGGCUCGAAAGCGUGGGGAGCAACAGGAUUAGAUACCCUGGUAGUCCACGCCGUAAACGAUGAGUGCUAAGUGUUGGAGGGUUCCACCCUUCAGUGCUGGAGUUAACGCAAUAAGCACUCGCCUGGGGA
rnacentral:rRNA from 1 species